rnacentral:rRNA from 1 species
CAGAGGUCUCAAGCGUUGUUCGGAUUUAUUGGGCGUAAAGGGUGCGUAGGCGGCAGGGUGAGUUAGAUGUGAAAUGCCGAGGCUUAACCUCGGCACUGCAUUUAAUACUGCCUUGCUUGAGCGCUAGCGAGGGGGCUGGAAUUUACGGUGUAGCAGUGAAAUGCGUAGAUAUCGUAAGGAAGACCAGUGGCGAAAGCGAGCCCCUAGAUAGCUGCUGACGCUGAGGCACGAAAGCUAGGGGAGCAAACGGGAUUAGAUACCCCGGUAGUCCUAGCAGUAAACGGUGCGCGUUUGGUGUGAGGAGGUUCGACCCUUCUCGUGCCGGAGCCAACGCGUUAAACGCGCCGCCUGGGGAGUACGGUCGCAAGAUUA